rnacentral:rRNA from 1 species
GAGCGGCCGACGUCUGAUUAGCUUGUUGGUGAGGUAAAGGCUCACCAAGGCGACGAUCAGUAGCGGGUCUGAGAGGAUGAUCCGCCACACUGGGACUGAGACACGGCCCCGACUCCUACGGGAGGCAGCAGUGGGGAAUUUUGGACAAUGGGGGCAACCCUGAUCCAGCCAUGCCGCGUGAGUGAAGAAGGCCUUCGGGUUGUAAAGCUCUUUCAGCUGGAGCGAAACGGUACGCUCUAACAUAGCGUGCUAAUGACGGUACCAGCAGAAGAAGCACCGGCUAACUACGUGCCAGCAGCCGCGGUAAUACGUAGGGCGCGAGCGUUAAUCGGAAUUACUGGGCGUAAAGCGUGCGCAGGCGGAUUGUUAAGCAAGACGUGAAAUCCCCGGGCUUAACCUGGGAAUGGCGUUUUGAACUGGCAGUCUAGAGUGCGUCAGAGGGGGGUGGAAUUCCACGUGUAGCAGUGAAAUGCGUAGAGAUGUGGAGGAACACCGAUGGCGAAGGCAGCCCCCUGGGAUGACACUGACGCUCAUGUACGAAAGCGUGGGUAGCAAACAGGAUUAGAUACCCUGGUAGUCCACGCCCUAAA